rnacentral:rRNA from 1 species
AUUAAUCAUACAAGCUUACAUGCACAUCCAGAAGGCACCAACGCAACUCGCAACCACCACUCUAUUAAUUAUUAUUAAAGUUUUCUAGAGUCGUUCUGCUUGGGCGGGCACCUGCGGGCGGUUUAACCUACAACGGCAAGGAAACCCUUCGGUGGGAUAUGGGGAACGGGGGAAAACCGGGGCAAUUCCCCUCCAUUUGUGCAAGCCCUGGAACGGGGUUUAAUCCGGAAUUGAUCCUUCCAGGCUUUUCGAGGUUCGAAAGUCCGGCGGUGCAGGAUGACCCCGGGCCUUUCAGCUAGUUGGGGAGUAACGGCUCCCCAAGCGACGACGGGUACCCGCCUUAGAGGGCGACCGGCCCCCCUGGGACUGAGACACGGCCCAGAUUCUUCGGGAGGCAGCAGUGGGGAAUAUUGCCCAAUGGGCGAAAGCCUGAUGCAGCGACGCCGCGUGAGGGAUGACGGCCUUCGGGUUGUAAACCUCUUUCAGCAGGGAAGAAGCGAAAGUGACGGUACCUGCAGAAGAAGCGCCGGCUAACUACGUGCCAGCAGCCGCGGUAAUACGUAGGGCGCAAGCGUUGUCCGGAAUUAUUGGGCGUAAAGAGCUCGUAGGCGGCUUGUCACGUCGGUUGUGAAAGCCCGGGGCUUAACCCCGGGUCUGCAGUCGAUACGGGCAGGCUAGAGUUCGGUAGGGGAGAUCGGAAUUCCUGGUGUAGCGGUGAAAUGCGCAGAUAUCAGGAGGAACACCGGUGGCGAAGGCGGAUCUCUGGGCCGAUACUGACGCUGAGGAGCGAAAGCGUGGGGAGCGAACAGGAUUAGAUACCCUGGUAGUCCACGCCGUAAACGGUGGGCACUAGGUGUGGGCAACAUUCCACGUUGUCCGUGCCGCAGCUAACGCAUUAAGUGCCCCGCCUGGGGAGUACGGCCGCAAGGCUAAAACUCAAAGGAAUUGACGGGGGCCCGCACAAGCGGCGGAGCAUGUGGCUUAAUUCGACGCAACGCGAAGAACCUUACCAAGGCUUGACAUACACCGGAAAACCCUGGAGACAGGGUCCCCCUUGUGGUCGGUGUACAGGUGGUGCAUGGCUGUCGUCAGCUCGUGUCGUGAGAUGUUGGGUUAAGUCCCGCAACGAGCGCAACCCUUGUCCCGUGUUGCCAGCAGGCCCUUGUGGUGCUGGGGACUCACGGGAGACCGCCGGGGUCAACUCGGAGGAAGGUGGGGACGACGUCAAGUCAUCAUGCCCCUUAUGUCUUGGGCUGCACACGUGCUACAAUGGCCGGUACAAUGAGCUGCGAUACCGCGAGGUGGAGCGAAUCUCAAAAAGCCGGUCUCAGUUCGGAUUGGGGUCUGCAACUCGACCCCAUGAAGUCGGAGUCGCUAGUAAUCGCAGAUCAGCAUUGCUGCGGUGAAUACGUUCCCGGGCCUUGUACACACCGCCCGUCACGUCUCGAAAGUCGGUAACACCCGAAGCCGGGGCCCAACCCCUGUGGGAGGGAGCGUCGAAGGGACGCGAUGCC